rnacentral:rRNA from 1 species
GAGUUUGAUCCUGGCUCAGGACGAACGCUGGCGGCGUGCCUAAUACAUGCAAGUCGAGCGAGCGGAACUAACAGAUUUACUUCGGUAAUGACGUUAGGAAAGCGAGCGGCGGAUGGGUGAGUAACACGUGGGGAACCUGCCCCAUAGUCUGGGAUACCACUUGGAAACAGGUGCUAAUACCGGAUAAGAAAGCAGAUCGCAUGAUCAGCUUUUAAAAGGCGGCGUAAGCUGUCGCUAUGGGAUGGCCCCGCGGUGCAUUAGCUAGUUGGUAAGGUAAAGGCUUACCAAGGCGAUGAUGCAUAGCCGAGUUGAGAGACUGAUCGGCCACAUUGGGACUGAGACACGGCCCAAACUCCUACGGGAGGCAGCAGUAGGGAAUCUUCCACAAUGGACGCAAGUCUGAUGGAGCAACGCCGCGUGAGUGAAGAAGGUUUUCGGAUCGUAAAGCUCUGUUGUUGGUGAAGAAGGAUAGAGGUAGUAACUGGCCUUUAUUUGACGGUAAUCAACCAGAAAGUCACGGCUAACUACGUGCCAGCAGCCGCGGUAAUACGUAGGUGGCAAGCGUUGUCCGGAUUUAUUGGGCGUAAAGCGAGCGCAGGCGGAAUGAUAAGUCUGAUGUGAAAGCCCACGGCUCAACCGUGGAACUGCAUCGG